UGUCUUCUUCAACUUGAACAAUAUCUCAAUGAAAAUAAUGGCGUUUCUUUUUUUCUUUUCGUUCAGGGUAGAAGCUAUGCCAAAACUUGUUCUUCAGUUGAUGAAUGUGAAAGGACUUCCCAUUUCACAUGUCAAGAGCCAUCUUCAGAUGUAUCGAAGCAUGAGAAGUGAUCGUUGCAGACAAGAAAAUCACGACACGAAGACAUGCAUGCAUGGAUAUUAUCAUGAACCGCCAUAACCUAACAAGAAGAAGCUUUUGUUGACUUUUCGCUACGUGUUUGGUUUGCCUACUGGAUUUUUUUCAAAUGACAAUUUAAGAACCAAACUUCAACCCAUCAAAGAAGACAAUCUAAUGGUGAGAACCAUGAUUUUGACGGACGUGUUAUCAAGUAAACCACUUGGAUUUUCACUCAUCUUCAAAACCCAUUGAAGAAUCAGAUUUUCGUUUGAUCUACAAUCAUCCAUUUCCUUCU